GUCAUGGGUCCUACAGUAAACUGCCACUUUGUACCAGCUGAAGAUAGGCUCCCCUCCCACCAAACACCAGUGCCUCAUUAUGACUCAAACUGGGAGUGGAUCUAUGUUGGGAAGGUAAUGAGCAAUAUUUGCUGCACUGGAUCAAGGAAUAGGAUAUUUUUGACUACCAUUGAAAAGAGCUCUUAGAGACCUUGAGUAAAGACCGCUGGAAAAUGCUGAAAUAUUACUCAGAAAGAAUCUGGAGUCCUGUGAAUAUGGCCCAUCAGUUGAGGAAGUCCUACUGGUGACAUAUGAGAGGAGUAUGUGAUAUUUAUGGUCGGCAAUGACGGAAACCUCAAGAAGACCAGAGGAUUACUCAAAAGACUGAAGAUUGCUAUGUUUCAGGAUUUUCCUUGUCCAAUCACAUUAGGGCAGUGGGAAGCUUGUGAUUGGACUGGAGAAGGGAGGUGAAGCGAAGAUUAAAUAUACAGAGAGAGAGGUCUGAGGAUGAGAGGAGAACUAGAAUGGAGGCCAACAUGGUGUUAUCCAAAGAAUUGAACAUUGGGAUGCUCAUUCUACAAUAGCCAUUUGCUGACUUCGUAAGCAGUGCAAUACUCAUCUCAGACAUUUUGAUGGAUCCCUCUGAAGUGAUCUUAAGAAAGUGGCUAAGAUGUGAUGGAAGAUGCUAGGAGAUCCGAAGAAAGAAACAAUCUAAUUGGUGCUUCACAAGACCAGCUCUGUGUCAAAGCUUGCAAAAUUAAAAAUAUGGAUAUAUAAAUAUAUUUGAACAAGGAUAAAUAAUAUGUCAUUACAUGAAAUAGCUCAAAACCUGAAAGCUGUUUAUUAAAAGUAAUUAAUGAAUUACAUCAUUUGUGUCAUUCAAGAUAAUGUGGUUACUUUAAACAGCAAAGGAGACUAAUGUAA